UCCAUGCAAAGCACAGCAAUUGCGCACGGUCCCUUACGUAACUGUCAGCUGGGGAUUCCCUAGAGGGGGUCACUUUAUUCAACCAUUACACAGACCCCGGCCGCCGCUCCGGCGCGCCUGGGCCGCCGUUGCCGCCGCUACUGAGGCUGCGGCUACAGCUAGCGCGGCGGCUCCUCACAAAAUGGCGGCGCCCAUGGAAGCGGCAGCCCCAUUUUGUGCCCAGCAGAGCCUGUCAACAAAACGCCGACUUGGCCAAGGCUGAGGAACAGAAGGCGGCGGCUCGUUCGCGUUACAGAGAGCGGAGGGAGGAGAGCGAAGGAUUUCACCGCCCUCCCGCCGCCGAGAGGAGACUUUCUAUCAAGUUGCGUGCCUUAUGAAUAAACCGGCUAUUAGGCUGAUGCUUCAAGUAACACUAUCCAGCACCAAGCUUGGUUCUUCACCUUACAGCUGAAAUAGUUGGAGAUCCCCUAGGAGAAGGUCGUGAAGCUGAUACUAGUGUUACACCACCGGUUUUGUUGGUUUUAUACUGACGGGGGCUCCCCUCUCUUUUUGAGGUAGAGAAAGGGCUUGUGAGUUAAGACUUUUUUUUUUUUUCCUGAUUUAUCUGUCUUAAUACGCAUGCAUUCUAAUGGUGUUAAAUAAAGGUGAUGACCUGUUUCUGGUGGAAGUGAUAAUUUUUAAAUGUACCAAAAUUACGUUGAUGAUGCUUAAGAAUUCCGAAAGAAUCUCUUGUUGCAUAUGAAAGAGUCCAAAGAUUAAAUGCAGGGGAAAAGGGAAAAAAAGUCUUGCUAUUUAGGGGGAAAAAAAAAAAUCCUUUUACUGAUCUCUGUAAUAGUACCUGUCAAUGCAAUUUGCAUUUAUUUAAAUUGUAAAAUAAAACCUGUGCUAUUACAAACUGCUUAUAAAAGUUACCAUAUACAAUUAAUUUUGGUGUGUAAAUGUUAUGUGUGGAAUGAGCAUUCUUGCAGACAGACAGUGCAGAUCCAGUAACUGAAUUGUCACUAUUCAGUAGUGGUUGGGUGGUUUUGUUUUGGUUUUUUGUGUGUGUGUGUGUGUUGGCUGCUUUUUUUUAAGUAUCACUGUGCUAAGUGAAUCUUGUGUUUGUAAUAGCUGUAUCUUGUGUUGCAGUUUCAAACUUUUUUCUUGAAUCUUUAAUAUGAAAUUUGGGGCUUAUUACCAAUGUGCCAAACUGCUGCUAUCCAGAGAGCAGGCCACAAUUGCUCUUGUCAGUGUGCCACUAACUCUGCAUUUGCUUUCUGGUCCACCUUUCGGAAUCAAGUUUAUGAUCAUCUAAUCUCUAAAUUAAAAGCACUUCAAAGUUGAGGGUUUCUCAGUUGUGCAAUGAAGUAUGAAACAUGAAGCAGGAAAACCCUAAAUGCAACUGAAGAAGAAGUAAAAAUAAAUAUGCAGAGCUGUGAUCACCGCAUUCAGUCCUAACUGUUGUUAGAGGAUCACAGUCCAAGACUGGAAGAGUUUCAUCAACUAGCUGGAUGUCCUGGGAGAAUUCCCAAAGGUUUACUUAGUUUGCUAAUCUCUGCUCAAGGGGUUCUGGUGGCUUCCCUGCUAACAAAGGCUUAGCCUAAAACAACUGAGAUUUGGGGCAAAUCCCUGAUACUGAAAACCUGCAGGGCAGGUUGGGUACAACUGUCAUCUUGUGGUAUUUACAAGAAAACAGAAAACUAACUUUCAUUUUACAUGCAGCAUGUCCAUGUGUUAUGGACACAGACGAUACAGAAGUUAGUUAAAAAAAGCAUUUGGGCUGAUAACGACCCUGUUAUAUUUUUCUUCUGUUGCCUGCUUUCAGCCUGUGUGCCCCAAAACAUUGCACUGCAUCCAAAGACCUAAAAUUUGGAGUCUGCAGGCCUUGGGGAUGGAGGGAAGUUGAGCCUAAACAUCCAUAAAGAGCCAUGUUUGCUGGAUAUUUUCAAGACUGAGAUUUGGAAAUAAGUUUCUCUCUUUCACUUAGGAAGAAUCUAAGAUACAACUUUUUGGACCAUGGCACAUCUACAUUUAGAUUUUCUAUACCUAUAUACUUCUUUUCCCCUUUAUUUUUCUGUGGGCAGAUUUUAAGAUAAAUGCAUACAUGAAAUAAAUUGCACAUCUAAAGUAGUGGAAACAUGGGAUAUUGCUGGGAUGGCUAUGGUCCCUGCAUGUCUUCAUAUAGAUGAGAGAGACAGAGGACACAUACCACGGCCUUGAUUUUGAACAAGAAGAGAUCAGGAGCUUGAACAGCAGAAUUACAGACUCGGAAGGUUAUGAAGACAUCAUUAAAUUCAGAAGUCUAUGGCCACAUUAAAUAGGCAGGAGCUGUGAACUGGCAAAAGCCUCCAUUACUGAAUCAAUAUGAGGCCAUUCUCCUAAGAAGUCCUCCCUCAAGGAAACAGCUCUAGCCCUCACUAUAUCAAGACUUCUUGGGCACAUGAGAUUAGCCAGGAAGCUCGUUGGCAAGUGAAAUAUGGCAACAGGGAGUCAUCUCCAGCACUGUUUCACCUGGUAAAAGCCUACAUGAAGUGACUGCAAGCAUGCUACCUUUCUCAUCUUGGGCACGGAUGGGUCUUGGAAUACUAUGCGUUCCUUGGACACUGGUGAGUGGAUAGGACUCAACAUGGAUAGGACUGCUCUGGUCAUCUCCAUAGCUAGCACCAACAAUCUGAGAAUGUCCCCUUAGUCUCCUUGUCCACCGUUAGAGGCGAUGAAGGUAGCACCUGUCACAGCAGGCCUUGGCACCACAACGUUUCUAACCGCUUCACACUUGUAUCGCAUUUCUCCUCAGGAUAUGUUAUAAGCCCUUUGCAUCAGGGCCACAGUAUUCCUCAGCGGUACAGCUGUGUUCAAGGAGCCUUCUCCCUGAGAUUCCCUGUGGCAGGUGAUAAGGAUAUUCAGAUCUUGAAGGCCAAGUGAGGUUUCUGCUGUCAAGACAGUGAAAGUGCAACUCCUUAUUCUAGGGAACACCAGGUUCCAUACACGUCAGCACUUGAGGCAUGGUUUAAGUGCAAAAAAUCCAAUGACAAUUUCUUGACACAGGUGACUGGUGAGUCAGCGAGGGGAGGUGCUGUGCUGGACCUGUUACUCAUGAACAAACUGGCUGGGGGUGUGGAGGUGGAGGGCAGCUUUGGCUGCAACCCUGAGAUUGUAUAGCUAAAAAUCCUGAGAUAAAUGAGUAAAACAAAUAGUAAAAUUGCCAGCCUUGACUUCCCGAGAGCAAACUUCAGCUUGUUUGGGGUCUGCUGGGCAGGAUCACAUGGGAGACAAUUAGCUGCUCCUGGGACACCUAGUUGAUCUUCAAGAACAGUCUCCUCAAAACACAGAAUUGGUCCAUUCCAAAUCACAGAAAGUUGAGCAAACGUGGUACAAGGCCAGUAUGGGUGAGCAGGACACUCUUGACUGACCUCAAAGUAUGCAGAAGGUAGAAACAGGUCCAGGACUACCUGGAUGGAAUAUAGAGACAUUGCCCAAGUCUGCAGGUGGGGAAUUAGGAAAGCCAAAACUCAGCUGGUGUUGUAACGGCAAGGGAUUUGAAGGGCAACAAAAAGGGCUUUAAUAAUUAUAUUGGCAACAAAAAGGCAGCCUAUGGGAAAUGUGGGCCGGGUACUCUAUGUGGCAGGGGGACCUACUGACAAAAGGCAUGGAAGAAGGUGAGGUGUUCAAUGCCUAUUCUGCUUUUUAUUGUUUUGUUUUGCUUUUUUAUUGGUAAGAUUUACCCUCAGUCCUGAGACUAAUAGCAGAGUCUGAGGGAGUGAAGCAGUAGCCACAGUGGAGAAAGACCGAGCCCUUAAGCCAAUUGGAUGUACACAAACCCAGAUGGGAUGCAUCCGAGGGUGCUGAGGAUAUCAUUGUGAGUCUGCUGCCUAUCAACUUUGACAGGUUAUGGUGAUUGUGGAGGUCCCUGAUGGACAGAUGAAAAAGGCAAAUGUCAUGCCCAUCUUCAAGAAGGUUGAGAAAGAGGAUCCAGGGAACUACAAGCCAAGCAGUCUAACCUCAGUCUCCUGGAAGAUUUUUCCUCCUGGAAACCAUUUCUGAGCUUAUGAAGUGCAAGAAGGUGAUUAGAAAUAGGAUGAGUUCACCAAGGACAAACUGCCUCUGAUCAACCUGGUUGGUUGAUCAUGGUCAGAUGACUGGUUCCGUGGACAAGGGAAGAGUAGUGAAUAUCGUUUACCUUGACUUCAGCAAAGCCUUUCCCAAGGUCUUUUAUAGUAUCCUACCAGUCAAAAUAGUGGGAUAUGGUCAGGAUAAGCAGAUGAUAAGGUGGAUGGAAAACUGGCUGAACUGCCAGGCUAAACAGGUUGUGAUUGGCAGUACAAAGUCCAUCUGUCAGCUGGUUGCUAGUGGCAAUCCCCCUCCGGGACAGAUUCUGGGGCCGGUGUGGUUUGGUGUCUUCGAUGUUAAUGAUCUGGACUAUGGGAGACAGUGCACUAUCAGCAAAUUUAUGGAUGAUACCAGCCUGCAGCGGAGCAGUUGAUACGCUGGAGGGCAGGGCUGUUAUUCGGAGGGACCAGGACAGGCUGGAGGAAUGAGUUGCCAGGAGCCUCACCAAGCUCAGCAAAGACAAGUGAGAAGUCCUGGGUUGGGCAUGGAAUAACCCCCUGCACUUGCACAUGCUGGAGGUCAACUGCCUAGAGAGCAGCUCUGCAGAAAGGGACCUGGGGUCCUGGUGGGCACAUUGAGCAUGAGUUGGCAGCUGGGGCAAACAAGGUCAACCUCAUCUUGGAUUAUAUUAGCAAGAUGUAACCAGCAGGUCCAGGGAAGUAAUUAUUCCUCUCUAUUUGGCACUUGUGAGACUGCUUCUGGAGUACUGUUUCUGGCUGCCCAGCACAAGACAUUGACAUACUGUUACGAAUGCAGUGGAGUGUCACUAAAAUCACACAGGCUGGAGUACAAGCAUAUGAGGAGAGCGCAGUGGAGCGAAGAUAAAGAAGAGAUGCAGACUCUUCUUGGAGCUGUAUGGUGGUAGGGGAAGAGCUAAUGGACCCAAGUUGCAAUACAGGGAAUCCUGCACGUAAGGAAAAAUAUUUUCACUGUUAGGAUGGUCAAAUGCUGGAACGGGUUUUCAAUAGAUAUUAUGGAAUCUCAGUCCUUGGAGAUAUUCAAAACCUGACUGAACAACCUGCUUUAGUUGGAGCUGCUUUCAGUGAGGAGUUGGACUAGCUGACCGUCAGGGAUCACUUCCAACCUGUCCAUCAGAGGGGCGAGACAGAGACCGGCGGAUGGCAAGAGUUUGCCACUGCAGAUCUGCUAGAACCCUUAUUGCCCUCAGAGAGCUCGCGUGUCAAAGGUGAGGUACCUACACAUUUCAACACCGAAAGCUGAGUUUUGAUUUUGAGGACUGCAACUUUCAGUGUAGAAUCCUAAAAUCUGUCUGAAUCUCUUUUUGAAUCUGGCUCUUAAUACUAAACUUUGAAAAGCACUGAUCUAUUUUCAAAGAGUGCAUGCCUCUCUACUGAAGACAUGAAAGACCUAAGAGGAUGAUUAAUCAGGAUUGCUUUGAGGGACAUUUUCCUUCCCAUUGUCCUAAGAUGAGAUUGGGAGAUAGUAGAAAGUGGCAGAUGUUUUGGAGUGGCCCUGUUGUUUUCAGGACUGUAAAUUGUUGUUUUCCUUUGUGGGUUUCUUAUCUGCUUAAUGCAUACUUGUCUGUAGAUAGCUAGUGUACAAGACUGCAAUUCGGACCUUUUUGGAGUUAGGUCAUAGUUGUCUUCUAACUGGUGUUAAUUCCCAUUUCCAAAGAUUCUGCUUAAUUUCAUCAUUAACAAAACUAUAUGAGAAUGUGAUGUUGCUGCACUCACAGUGUUGUGCACAGUGUAUGUGGAGCUAUGCAUUACAAGAAGAAUUGUAUAAAAUGAAAAGCUGACUUACAGUAGUAUCUUUCUGUUAAAAAGUAUGCACAUUCUAAAUGUAGUGCUUGGAAAAAAAUGUCAUCUAUCUCUUUAUGACUGUGAUCAAAUUCUAUACAUUUUAUAAGACACAGUAUGGACCUACUUUAUGUCUCACUAAAAAUUUAAUAUACGUGAUACAUACUUUAAUGGAAUAUAUGACUUUUCCUUCUCCCGGUGUAAUCACUCACAGUUUUGCAAAAUUGAUAGGGAUCACUGAUUUGACAGCAGCUUCCACAGGUAUAGGUAACAGGACAAAUACAAGGGAGUGGAUAAUCACAACCCUUAUCUUAAAGAAAAACAUCCGGCAUUUUUUUAACCUUUGAUAACUAGAAAGUAUUACUUGUAUUUUGUCUUAAAUCUAGCAUUUCAUCAUUAGUUUGAAAAUGCCUCUCUCUGUGUGAAAAAUAGUUAGAAUAUAAACCCCUUUCUCCUUUCCUCAGUAGUAUGUUAACAAAUCCACACACUGGCUUAUAUUUUAUUAGAAAUAUAGGGAAGGGGAAAAUGGGGUUUGCCAAAUGGGGAAAGAGAAAAAUAUUUAUCAGCUUUCAACACUUGGAUUAAAUUAUAUCAUAGUCUGUAAGAAAAAUUAUGUGGCUGUUCAGUUUUGUUUUAGGAGAGGUUCUAUGAUCCAAAACCUGUAACAUAUUCAGCGCAUGUAAUAAAAGCGUCACUCACUUGCUGGUCACAAGAAUAUGCUUCUACAAAAGAAGUUGUAACUAAUGAGUCUCUUUCCCCUCAGUUAAGAAAAUAAUUUCUAUUUAAAUAGCUUUGAAAUUUCAAUAUCUGCAUUUUUUAUAAGUGAUAGUUUAAAGCCUAUGAUAUAAUCUGAAAACUAUCAAACCUAUAAUCUUCCUAAUGUGCCGGGACUUUGAUUACAUAAAAAUACUUUGUUGGUUCAUGGUGAAUAUUCAUAAAUGGUAUCUAUAUGGUAUAUAUAUGCACAAUAUAAAACAUCAUUGUCAAAAAAAUAGCUCUAUACUUACAGAAGAUUUUGAAAACCCAGAUCAUUCCUUUCUACCUCUUUUUUUUUUUUUUUUUUUUUUUUAAAUUUUUAAUUAAUGCCUGUUUGGGGCAUAUUAUCUCAGUAUUAUUUCUGCUGUGGUGAUGUCUCUGUAGGAUCAUCAAUAGUUCCUCUACAAUGAGAACUGGAAGAUAGUCUAUAUUAGCUACUAGUUUACUUGAUCAUGUCCUGGAAUAUCCCUAGCCUUCAGUCAAACUCAUUGAAUUUCUCUCCUGUUUUAGAGUGGGUAGAGGCAGCUGAUAGCCCUGGAGUCAUAGUCAAUGGGGAUCUAGUAAAAACAGUCAAUAUUGUCCAGAAAGUGAGUCAACUCAUUUUAAAGCAGGCAUCUACUUUUAGUCAGAUGAAUCACUCUCUAGACUCCAUUGAUGUAGAUAUGUCAAGCUGAAUGAGAUGGAUCCCACCCUUACAUUCCCUAGAUCUUUCUGCUCACUUGUUUGAGAGUGAAUUAAAGCACUUA